UGAGGAAUAUUGGACAAUGGGCGCAAGCCUGAUCCAGCCAUGCCGCGUGCAGGAUGACGGUCCUAUGGAUUGUAAACUGCUUUUGUACAGGAAGAAACAGUUCUACGUGUAGAACCUUGACGGUACUGUAAGAAUAAGGAUCGGCUAACUCCGUGCCAGCAGCCGCGGUAAUACGGAGGAUCCAAGCGUUAUCCGGAAUCAUUGGGUUUAAAGGGUCCGUAGGCGGUUAGAUAAGUCAGUGGUGAAAGCCCAUCGCUCAACGGUGGAACGGCCAUUGAUACUGUCUGACUUGAAUUAUUAGGAAGUAACUAGAAUAUGUAGUGUAGCGGUGAAAUGCUUAGAGAUUACAUGGAAUACCAAUUGCGAAGGCAGGUUACUACUAAUGGAUUGACGCUGAGGUACGAAAGCGUGGGGAGCAAACAGGAUUAGAUACCCAGGUAGUCCCUGAGCGGGCUGGCAAGGCGCAU
rnacentral:rRNA from 1 species